UUAUGAGUGCGGCGGCACAAUGAGGGACAGUGUUACACAACACAAGACACGGGGUUGGCUGGCAGAGAUGUGAGGGGACUCAGCAGACAUCCUCGACAUUCAGUGAUAAUUGAAAGGUGUUGACACGGUGAGAAAAAGACAGAUUGACUGUCAGUGUUUACCGUAGCACGCAGUCACAUGACGGCUGAAAGACCUCUGUGGGCGCAGCGGAAAGAGGGUCGGAGUCAUCCGGCGAAGAGAGAGUGGGGGGGGGGGGAAACACACUGUGGUGUUGGUGUUUUGUUUGACAUGAACGUCUGCUAACAGCUCCUGUAGACCAGGAGCUCUGCCAGGACUCACAGGUGUCAUCAGGGAUCUGGAAAAGUGCCACAGAGAGUGGAGGAGAAGAAGGAGCAAAGGCCCCCGAGGCUCACCCCAGAUGUGUCACCCGGGUGCAUUAUGUUUCUUUGUAGCAGUGGUAGUUGAUGGACAGGAGGACAGGGACGCUCUGAUGUCUAAGUGAACAGAGGUGUAAACUGUACGGGUGCAGCAGGAGGUCAACAAGGUCAGUUUAACCAAAUGUUUUAGGACCGUGACCUCACUUCCUCAAAUUAAAUUACAUUUAGAAUUUUUUCAUAAUAAACUGUAGCUAGAAUUUGGAUAAACAUUUUAUUUCACCUGAACUUGCUGUAGGCAAUUUUCAUUUGUCUAUAUCUUACCACAUUUUUGUCUUUUUUUGUCAGCUAAAACUAAGACUUUUUGUGUAAUGAACUAACUUCAUCUGUACUUUGAAGUAGUUUAAGGGACAAAGGUAGGGUUUUCUUUCACCCUUUUCUGCUGAUAUAAUAAAAUGCUAAUGAUAAGAAAGGAGUAUAAAAAACAGAGUGCAGAACAAACGCCUUUGGAUAGGUCAGAGUGUCUUCUAAUGACCUCAUUUAGGAACAACAAACCCUGCAACCAAGUACGCAAACACAGCACAGUGGGGGCUCGCCUUUAUCCCAGUGUGACAAUGCAUGGUGUGAGAGAAGGAUGGAUGAACUGGGGGGGGGGUUCAAGAAACACUAAGAAAACAUGGAAACGAAGAGAGAGAGGGAGAGAGAGAGAGAGGUAAAGAAAGUUGUGGUAGGAGACGUUAAAACAAAAGAGUAACAAUAUAAAAAAAAAAACACCCACACAAAGAAAAGAGUGAGACAACAAGGUAAGAGAGCCUAAAGGAGCAACACGCUCGUGUGCGACUGCUCAACCUUGCCAAAGAAAAUAGGUUACCUCUGCUUCUCCAGGUGCCCAAGGGAGGCUCACACUGGUAAGACUGGUGCCCCUGUGUCAUCUCGUAAACAUCGAACCACCAAAACUGCCCCGCAACACAGCGCACAACAGCUUCCCUUUUAGCACAGGAGGGCGGUGCGGCGGCGAUGCAAAUUCACAAUGGCCUCCAAAACUCUGACCUCUGUCCCAGCCAAGUGGUUUGAAGGCAGAUCCUGGACCACCAAUCAGGUUCACCGGAGAGCAGCAGUCUAUCACGUGUUACCGAGGAAUUAAACUGGACAAGAAUCGAAACGUACUCCUGAUUUCAUUGCUCAUUCACGGAUCACAAACACAGAAGAGCGGACGUCUCCUCGGACCGACGGACUUGUUUUAAUUGGACGGCUGACAGAGCCACUGCCCCGGAAGUCUUGACAUACGGAAGAUUACUCAAGGGCCAGAGUACGAGCACAAUGAGGAGACGACAGAAGACGGCCAGUCGUCAUUAAAAUGUUUUGGUCUUGUUCCUCCCAGUGCCUUAACAGAGACCUAUUAACCUUUUACUGAUACGGCCCCUGAUGCAGCAGAGAACCUAAUUAAGACAUAAAUCACAUUAAUGUACAUAUACAGUAAGAAACGGUGAAGUAAGAAACAAACUUAAAUUAACUGAAAAAUCCCCAGGUCAUAUUUUUAUCGUGUAAUUCCACAGACGUGCUCCGACAGUCACGUUAACCUCGCACUAAAUAAAACGCUUUAAGAGAACUGUUCAUUUAGGUUUCCACCCGAGCCAAGUGAUCGGUGGAAUAAAAAUAUUUCAUCUCCCGGUCCCAGGGUCGAGGAUCUACGGAGAGCCUGAUUGGUCGUUUCUAUCCAGUAGUGUCGUCCAAUUGCCGGUCCAUGUUGACCCCCGUGACCCUUCCAGCCUCCUCAUCCUCCCAACAUCGUGGCUCCAUUUAGCAAACAGAAGCGGCUAAAGGACUGCUGAGCUGUACUUCAGCAGUCCUCCAGUCCAAUCACUCAUUUACCUGAAGUGAUUUUAUCACACUCCACGGAUAAUCGCAGAGAGUCCGACACAAAGUGCCGGGUUAUUGAACCGACAGCGGACAGUUACCAAAGUUACAGGCCUGUCUUUGUUCUGCUUGUGCGUCUUGAUAAGGUUUUAACCGUGUGACAUUACGGCGUCACAUGACUUUCAUUUAUUUAUGUAAACAAAUGCUGCGCAGUUAAAGUUAGACCUGAGCCUCGUGAUUAAUGGAAGGUGGAUAUCCUCUCCAGAUGGGUUCCUCUCUGUCAAGUGGCUUUAAAAGGUUUUUGGGAUUUGUGGAGUGGGCACGGCCACUGGUUUUUGCAUUUUUGGUCCCACACUCACAGCGGUGGGUCCGAGGGGAGGCUUUAAGAGGGGAAUUAUGUCAAAUGGAGAGGAUGGAUUUGUCUGUAUCUUCGACUGUGCUGGUGUGUGAGGGGAGACUGUGUUCCACUGGUCCCUUUGGUCACUUUUUACAUAAAAAAAAAAAAAAUGCAUCACAGGGGGCUAGAACGC